rnacentral:SRP_RNA from 1 species
CUGUGCUAGACGGGGAGCUAGCGGUGCCCUAUACCCGCAAUCCGCUGCAGCGGGGUUGAACUCCUCUCCAAGGCUUAGUUGGUAGGCCUCUAGCCGCACUGGGCAGUGCUGAUAGCUGGGUCCCGCGCGACGGAGGUCUGUGAACCCCGCCAGGUCCGGAAGGAAGCAACGGUAAACAGAACCCUUCGGGUGCCGAGGGAGUGCCUGGCUGGAGCUGUCUCUGUAGCUAUGCUCAUCAGCUAUGGUCGAAGAGGGGUGCACAG